UACAGAGGGGGCAAGCGUUGUUCGGAAUUACUGGGCGUAAAGGGCGCGUAGGUGGCCUUCUAAGUUGAACGUGAAAUCCCUGGGCUCAACCCAGGAACUGCGUCCGAGACUGGGAGGCUUGAAUCCGGGAGAGGGAUGCGGAAUUCCAGGUGUAGCGGUGAAAUGCGUAGAUAUCUGGAGGAACACCGGUGGCGAAGGCGACAUCCUGGACCGGUAUUGACGCUGAGUGAGCGAAAGCCAGGGGAGCAAACGGG
rnacentral:rRNA from 1 species